rnacentral:rRNA from 1 species
CACAUGGGUAACCUGCCCUAAAGUCUGGGAUACCACUUGGAAACAGGUGCUAAUACCGGAUAACAACAAUAGCUGCAUGGCUAUUGCUUAAAAGGCGGCGAAAGCUGUCGCUAAAGGAUGGACCCGCGGUGCAUUAGCUAGUUGGUAAGGUAAUGGCUUACCAAGGCGACGAUGCAUAGCCGAGUUGAGAGACUGAUCGGCCACAUUGGGACUGAGACACGGCCCAAACUCCUACGGAAGGCAGCAG